rnacentral:rRNA from 1 species
UACAGAGGGGGCAAGCGUUGUUCGGAAUUACUGGGCGUAAAGGGCGCGUAGGUGGCCUUCUAAGUUGAACGUGAAAUCCCUGGGCUCAACCCAGGAACUGCGUCCAAGACUGGGAGGCUUGAAUCCGGGAGAGGGAUGCGGAAUUCCAGGUGUAGCGGUGAAAUGCGCAGAUAUCAGGAGGAACACCGAUGGCGAAGGCAAGUCUCUGGGCAUUAACUGACGCUGAGGAGCGAAAGCAUGGGGAGCGAACAGG